CAGAUCUUUUGCCAACAUGAGUGUUGUUGGUUGAUUUAGUGAUUUGUCGGCAUACCAUCACAGUUACCCAGCUGUGGUUUGGCCCCAGAAUAUCAACAGUGCCUGCACGGCAGGGGCCGGAGCUGUUAGAGCCCCACUCUACAAAAUCCAUUUCCCCGCUGGAAUGAGGAGGACUGUCCAUAGAGAUGCCCC